GAUGAACGCUGGCGGCGUGCUUAACACAUGCAAGUCGAACGAAGCAUUUUAGCGGAACAUUUUCGGAUGGGAAGUUAAAAUAACUGAGUGGCGGACGGGUGAGUAACGCGUGGAUAACCUACCAUAUACAGGGGGACAACAGUUGGAAACGACUGCUAAUACCGCAUAAGCGCACAGUGCCGCAUGGCACGGUGUGAAAACUCCGGUGGUAUAUGAUGGAUCCGCGUCUGAUUAGCUAGUUGGUGAGGUAACGGUCCACUAAGGUAACGAUCAGUAGUCGACCUGAGAGGGUGACCGGCCACAUUGGGACUGAGACACGGCCCAAACUCCUACGGGAGGCAGCAGUGGGGAAUAUUGCACAAUGGGCGAAAGCCUGAUGCAGCGACGCCGCGUGAGCGAAGAAGUAUUUCGGUAUGUAAAGCUCUAUCAGCAGGGAAGAAAAUGACGGUACCUGACUAAGAAGCCCCGGCUAACUACGUG
rnacentral:rRNA from 1 species